UACGUAGGUGGCAAGCGUUAUCCGGAUUUAUUGGGUGUAAAGGGCGUGUAGGCGGGAGCGCAAGUCAGAUGUGAAAACUCAGGGCUCAACCCUGAGCCUGCAUUUGAAACUGUGUUUCUUGAGUGCUGGAGAGGCAAUCGGAAUUCCGUGUGUAGCGGUGAAAUGCGUAGAUAUACGGAGGAACACCAGUGGCGAAGGCGGAUUGCUGGACAGUAACUGGCGCUGAGGCGCGAAAGCGUGGGGAGCAAACAGG
rnacentral:rRNA from 1 species